UACGAAGGGUGCUAGCGUUGUUCGGAAUUACUGGGCGUAAAGCGCGUGUAGGCGGGUCGUUAAGUCGGGGGUGAAAGCCCAGAGCUCAACUCUUGAACUGCCUUCGAUACUGGCGACCUGGACCCAAGGAGAGGCGAGUGGAAUUGCGAGUGUAGAGGUGAAAUUCUUAGAUAUUCGCAGGAACACCAAUGGCGAAGGCGACUCGCUGGUCUUGUUGUGACGCUGAGAUGCGAAAGCGUGGGGAGCAAACAGG
rnacentral:rRNA from 1 species